rnacentral:rRNA from 1 species
UACAGAGGUCUCAAGCGUUGUUCGGAUUCAUUGGGCGUAAAGGGUGCGUAGGUGGCGGGGUAAGUCAGGUGUGAAAUCUCGGGGCUCAACCCCGAAACUGCACUUGAUACUGCCUUGCUCGAGUACUGGAGAGGAGAUUGGAAUUUACGGUGUAGCAGUGAAAAUGCGUAGAUAUCGUAAGGAAGACCAGUGGCGAAGGCGAAUCUCUGGACAGUUACUGACACUGAGGCACGAAGGCCAGGGGAGCAAACGGGG